UACGUAGGGUGCAAGCGUUGUCCGGAAUUAUUGGGCGUAAAGAGCUCGUAGGCGGUUUGUCGCGUCUGCUGUGAAAACUCGGGGCUUAACCCCGGGCCUGCAGUGGGUACGGGCAGACUAGAGUGCGGUAGGGGAGACUGGAAUUCCUGGUGUAGCGGUGAAAUGCGCAGAUAUCAGGAGGAACACCGAUGGCGAAGGCAGGUCUCUGGGCAUUAACUGACGCUGAGGAGCGAAAGCAUGGGGAGCGAACAGG
rnacentral:rRNA from 1 species